AACGGUCACACAACACACACACACCAGCACCAAUCAUGUUUUCCUCUCUUCCCCUCCCUCCCUCGCCCUUCUCCAAAUAGAGCAGCCUCCCGCAGGGAAGUCUAUCAGUAGAGCGGCACACACGAAGCAACAGCACACAGAGAGGGAGGGAGAGUAACGCACAACUUCUCCUUACACGCUGUCGCCACUUUCCGCCCUGUUGCCCUGGUCGUGUAAAUAGCCUGAAGGUUACGCCAGCUAAACCGAUAUUGUAUUAACAUCUGCAACAAGAACAACCGCAACAACAGCAGCGGCAACAUUCGAGUCCGGUUAUUUUUUUGUGGCGGGUUUUGUUGUUGUUGUCGUUGUCGAUCCCGGUGCACCGACCGUGUGUCUGAACGUUCUCCGCUUGGCGAGUCAAAGUGGCCACGUCAGAGAUGUCGGCGAUGGAGCUGAAGGCCCUGCUGAGGGGUCCCCACACCCUGGACCACUUAGAGAAGCAACUCAUCUGCCCCAUCUGCCUGGAGAUCUUCUCCAAGCCUGUGGUCAUCCUGCCCUGCCAGCACAAUCUCUGCCGCAAGUGCUGCAAUGACAUCUUUCAGGCGGCCAACCCGUACCUCCAGGGCCGCACGACGUCCGUGGGCUCGGCGGGGCGCUUCCGCUGCCCUUCGUGCCGCCACGAGGUGGUCCUGGACCGCCACGGCGUCUACGGCCUCCAGCGCAACCUCCUCGUCGAGAACAUCAUCGACAUCUACCAGCAGGAGUCCACCACGCGCCCCAUGAAGAACCUGGAGGAGCACCACCCCAUGUGCGUGGAGCACGAGGACGAGAAGAUCAACAUCUACUGCGUGUCGUGCGAGGCGCCCACGUGCUCACUCUGCAAGGUGUUCGGGGCCCACAGGAACUGCGAGGUCGCGCCGUUGGCCACCGUCUACAAAAAGCAAAAGGUUGAGCUCAGUGACGGCAUCGCCCUGCUGGUGGUGGGGAACGACCGCAUGCAGCUCGUCAUAUCUCGUCUCGAGGAGAUGUGCAGAAACGUGGAGGAGAAUGGGCGCAGCAUGAGGCAGGCACUGUGCGGCAGCUUCGACGCGCUAUACGCCGCGCUGGAGGAGCGCAAGCGCGAGAUGCUGCAGAUCAUUGGCCACGAGACAGACAGCAAGACGCAACGUGUGCGGACGCUGGCCGCGCAGUGCUCCCAGCACCUCGAGCGCUCCUCCAAGCUCGUCGAGAGCGCCCUGCACUCUAUGGAUGAGCCCGAGAUGGCCGUGUUCUUGCAGAAUGCAAAACCUCUCCUGAAAACGAUCCUGGAGACGUCGGAGGAGGCCGACGUGCAGGAGAUGGAGGGCGGAUUCUCCAGCAUGGAUCACUUCUCGUGCGACUUCACCCAAGUGGAGGAGAAGCUCCGAGGACUCGACUUCAAUCCGGGGCCAGAGCCGGCGCAAGCCUCAGGCGAGGACGCGACGGAGGCCGAGUGGCUGGCCAAUGAGCAGGCUCAGUGGGCGGAGCAAGAGGCGGAGCUCGGGCAGGACGUCCAAUCAGGAUGGAGGUCGCCUCGGCCUGACCAGAAAGAGGAGGAGCCACAGACGCAGCCGCAGCCGUCGCCGCCAGAGGGCGCCCGCGAGGAGACGCUGGGAGCCACGGCCGAGGCAGCAGGGAGCGCCCAUGGGGGACAUGAGGGUGACAGGCAGCCCGAGGCUCAGUUCUGGUCGCGCGGGGAGGAGGAGAAGGAAGUGGCAGAGGACCCGGUGCCGCAAGUGACCAGGCCCUGGGGGCCCGGGGACGCGCGGCCUCGUCCGCCGGAGCCCCGUGUCGACAGCGCCCCUGAGCCGGCCCUGCCCACAGGAGUUAGCCUUCUGCAUUGCAAUCAUGGCUGGACUGCUCAUUCUGCUGCAGCUUUGGACUCAGGUUGAGAAGGCCGUGGCUCUCACCCGCUCUGCCAUCCCAUGGACAUAGGUCCACCCUUCAUCAACAUCAUCAUGACCAUCACCAUCAUCGCCAGGUGUAGAUAUGUCCGAAUUUGAGUUUUGAAGUGAAGAAAACUCCCAAGGAAAAUGCAAGGGAAUAAAAAUGUGACGUCAAAGGAGCCGCGAUUGUCGCAAGAGCCUUGGACGCCGAACGUCAAUCACCUCAUCCUGCUUUUAAUUUUAGAGUUCGUGUUUAACCGUUUUGUUAUCAUAUCUGCAUGACAAUGUGUUGAUCCACUGGGGGGAAAAGUCUUUACAAAUGGCCCACCGAAGUUUCAGCUUCACUUUGGAUUUCAUGCAGAGCACAAUGGAAUGUUUGGCCUUGGAUAAGCACGAAUGGCGGUGUAGAAAUGUGCACGUGAUGAUAAUCUGCAUUGACGGUAACCAGGGUCGCCACAUGUUACACAGUAGAACAAACCCAGACACAGUUCUCAGUCGGCCAAGGUCCAUCGUCAAAACUGUGCAAAUUUACUGCAAUAAGGUUCUAUACGAUGCCACCAGAUCUCGGUGCAAAAUAAAUUCCUGCCAACCGACACAACCACUUGCCAGACUGUCAAAUCCGUACAGGUGUUAACCCGAAUGGCAACAGUAUGUCUAUGUGCAUAAUUACAAACGAUGCCCUUUGCUUGUAUUACACUACACAGGGUCGAUGGCUUGAUUUCUAACCCGAUAUGUUCCCGUAACACUGCUAGGCUGACUUAGAGCAUGGACUAUCGGCGUCAAAGAACUACCACUAGAUUACAAGGUACGGCACAUCCAAAAUAAUCCUAUAUUAUUGCACCCUAUAUUCGGAAGGCGAUUAGGUUUAUACCUUUCUAGGCUUGAUUUAAAGGUUGGCAAUGGAGAUGAGUACUGCCCCAUUGCUUGUUUGGGCAAAUAAAUUCGAACAUGUUAAGUGUAACCAUGUGUGGUCGCGCACACCUGUAAAGAAGUCGGUUUGAUUGAUGAGUCAGCACUCGCUGAUUGACUACAGUCACCCGUUUACCGGCAGUAGUUGCCUCCGUGUCACUCUACUAUCGAUAACUGCCGUGGUCACAGUUACCACGCAUGGAUUCCUCGCCCCCUUUUUGCGGAUUUUGUUUACCGUAUUGUGUUCAACCAGCACACUGCAAGUCAUAAACUCCCACUCGCCACAAUGCAAGUCACAACAACUCACCCACUCACCACACUGCAGGUCACAAAAACUCACCCACUCACCACACUGCAGGUCACACCAACUCACCCACUCACCACACUGCAGG